UGGUGGUAACGACGUUUGCAGUGCCAACGCGGACCCUCAAGAUAUAUGAUAGGGAAGUUAGUUCUGCAACUGCAGCACGAUGUGGCCCCCGUGGUGUAUACGUCUUCAAAGUGCUGUCACGUUUCUCCAGCUCUGAAGACGCCGAUGCGGAGCGCCAGAUCAAGAAAACGCGCUUGCUGAACCGCAAGCUGACGGCUACGCUGAAACCCCUGCCGUGUGUUCGAAUCUUGAACGCCGAGCAUGUUGGUCUUCAUUCGAGAGCUGUCUCACCUUUGGAUGUACAGAGGCA
rnacentral:lncRNA from 1 species